rnacentral:rRNA from 1 species
AAAAAAAAUAAUAAUAAUGUCUGCGCCAGAUCUCGUCUGAUCUUGGAAGCUAAACAGGGUCGGGCCUGGUUAGUACUUGGAUGGGUGACCGCCUGGGAAUACCAGGUGCUUUAUGCU